AUUGAACGCUGGCGGCAGGCCUAACACAUGCAAGUCGAACGGUAGCACAGAGAGCUUGCUCUCGGGUGACGAGUGGCGGACGGGUGAGUAAUGUCUGGGAAACUGCCCGAUGGAGGGGGAUAACUACUGGAAACGGUAGCUAAUACCGCAUAACGUCGCAAGACCAAAGUGGGGGACCUUCGGGCCUCACACCAUCGGAUGUGCCCAGAUGGGAUUAGCUAGUAGGUGGGGUAAUGGCUCACCUAGGCGACGAUCCCUAGCUGGUCUGAGAGGAUGACAAGCCACACUGGAACUGAGACACGGUCCAGACUCCUACGGGAGGCAGCAGUGGGGAAUAUUGCACAAUGGGCGCAAGCCUGAUGCAGCCAUGCCGCGUGUAUGAAGAAGGCCUUCGGGUUGUAAAGUACUUUCAGCGGGGAGGAAGGCGGUGAAGUUAAUAACUUCACCGAUUGACGUUACCCGCAGAAGAAGCACCGGCUAACUCCGUGCCAGCCGCCGCAGUAA
rnacentral:rRNA from 1 species